GGAUGAACGCUAGCGACAGGCUUAACACAUGCAAGUCGAGGGGCAGCGGGGGCGAAGCUUGCUUCGCCUGCCGGCGACCGGCGCACGGGUGAGUAACACGUAUGCGACCUGCCCCCCGCAGGGGGAUAACCGGGAGAAAUCCCGACUAAUACCGCGUAACGCCGCUGGGCUGCAUGGCCCGGCGGCCAAAGGAAGCGAUUCCGGCGGGGGAUGGGCAUGCGGCGCAUUAGCUAGUCGGCGGGGUAACGGCCCACCGAGGCGACGAUGCGUAGGGGUUCUGAGAGGAAGGUCCCCCACACUGGUACUGAGACACGGACCAGACUCCUACGGGAGGCAGCAGUGAGGAAUAUUGGUCAAUGGGCGGGAGCCUGAACCAGCCAAGUCGCGUGAGGGAAGACGGUCCUACGGAUUGUAAACCUCUUUUGCCGGGGAGCAACGGGGUCCUUGCGAGGGCCCGAUGAGAGUACCCGGAGAAAAAGCAUCGGCUAACUCCGUGCCAGCAGCCGCGGUAAUACGGAGGAUGCGAGCGUUAUCCGGAUUUAUUGGGUUUAAAGGGUGCGUAGGCGGGCUGUUAAGUCAGCGGUCAAAUGUCGGGGCUCAACCCCGGCCUGCCGUUGAAACUGGCGGCCUCGAGUGGGCGAGAAGUAUGCGGAAUGCGUGGUGUAGCGGUGAAAUGCAUAGAUAUCACGCAGAACUCCGAUUGCGAAGGCAGCAUACCGGCGCCCGACUGACGCUGAGGCACGAAAGCGUGGGUAUCGAACAGGAUUAGAUACCCUGGUAGUCCACGCAGUAAACGAUGAAUGCUAGCUGUCCGGUUCUACGGGACUGGGUGGCACAGCGAAAGCGUUAAGCAUUCCACCUGGGGAGUACGCCGGCAACGGUGAAACUCAAAGGAAUUGACGGGGGCCCGCACAAGCGGAGGAACAUGUGGUUUAAUUCGAUGAUACGCGAGGAACCUUACCCGGGCUCAAACGCCAAAGGACAGCCGUUGAAAGGCGGCCUCCCUCCGGGGUCUUUGGCGAGGUGCUGCAUGGUUGUCGUCAGCUCGUGCCGUGAGGUGUCGGCUUAAGUGCCAUAACGAGCGCAACCCCCAUCGACAGUUGCUAACGGGUAGAGCCGAGGACUCUGUCGAGACUGCCGGCGCAAGCUGCGAGGAAGGCGGGGAUGACGUCAAAUCAGCACGGCCCUUACGUCCGGGGCGACACACGUGUUACAAUGGCCGGUACAGCGGGAUGCCAGGGCGCGAGCCCGAGCGGAACCCGAAAACCGGUCUCAGUUCGGAUUGGAGUCUGCAACCCGACUCCAUGAAGCUGGAUUCGCUAGUAAUCGCGCAUCAGCCACGGCGCGGUGAAUA
rnacentral:rRNA from 1 species